rnacentral:rRNA from 1 species
AACGAACGCUGGCGGCGUGCUUAACACAUGCAAGUCGAGCGAGAAAAGUUCUUCGGAGCUUUUCUAGCGGCGGACGGGUGAGUAACACGUGGGCAACCUGCCUCAUAGAGGGGAAUAGCCUUCCGAAAGGAAGAUUAAUACCGCAUAACAUUGUUGAAAGGCAUCUUUUAACAAUCAAAGGAGCAAUCCGCUAUGAGAUGGGCCCGCGGCGCAUUAGCUAGUUGGUGAGGUAACGGCUCACCAAGGCGACGAUGCGUAGCCGACCUGAGAGGGUGAUCGGCCACAUUGGAACUGAGACACGGUCCAGACUCCUACGGGAGGCAGCAGUGGGGAAUAUUGCACAAUGGGGGAAACCCUGAUGCAGCAACGCCGCGUGAGUGAUGAAGGUCUUCGGAUUGUAAAGCUCUGUCUUUAGGGACGAUAAUGACGGUACCUAAGGAGGAAGCCACGGCUAACUACGUGCCAGCCGCCGCGGUAAAAC